AUUGAACGCUGGCGGCAGGCCUAACACAUGCAAGUCGAACGAGUGGCGGACGGGUGAGUAAUGUCUGGGAAACUGCCUGAUGGAGGGGGAUAACUACUGGAAAAGGUAGCUAAUACCGCAUACCAUCAGAUGGGCCCAGAUGGGAUUAGCUGGUGGGGGGGGUAACGGCUCACCAAGGCGACGAUCCCUAGCUGGUCUGAGAGGAUGACCCGCCACACUGGCAUGGAGACACGGUCCAGACUCCGACGGGAGGCAGCAGUGGGGAAUAUUGCACAAUGGGCGCAAGCCUGAUGCAGCCAGGCCGCGUGUAUGAAGAAGGCCUUCGGGUUGUAAAGUACUUUCAGCGGGGAGGCGUUACCCGCAGAAGAAGCACCGGCUAACUCCGUGCCAGCAGCCGCGGUAAUAC
rnacentral:rRNA from 1 species